GAGCGGCGAACGGGUGAGUAACACGUGAGUAACCUGCCCCUGACUCUGGGAUAAGCCUGGGAAACUGGGUCUAAUACCGGAUAUGACCACUUNUCGCAUGGGAUGGUGGUGGAAAGUUUUUUCGGUUGGGGAUGGGCUCGCGGCCUAUCAGCUUGUUGGUGGGGUAGUGGCCUACCAAGGCGACGACGGGUAGCCGGCCUGAGAGGGCGACCGGCCACACUGGGACUGAGACACGGCCCAGACUCCUACGGGAGGCAGCAGUGGGGAAUAUUGCGCAAUGGGCGGAAGCCUGACGCAGCGACGCCGCGUGGGGGAUGACGGCCUUCGGGUUGUAAACCUCUUUCAGCAGGGACGAAGUUGACGUGUACCUGUAGAAGAAGCGCCGGCUAACUACGUGCCAGCAGCCGCGGUAAUACGUAGGGCGCAAGCGUUGUCCGGAAUUAUUGGGCGUAAAGAGCUCGUAGGUGGCUUGUUGCNGUCUGCCGUGAAAGCUUAGGGCUUAACCCUAGGUCUGCGGUGGAUACCGGGCAGGCUAGAGGCUGNUAGGGGCAAGCGGAAUUCCU
rnacentral:rRNA from 1 species